rnacentral:rRNA from 1 species
ACACCAAGAAAUCGAGUCAUACGGACAAUGGUUAAAAGACAGUUAGGCAUAAUUGAGAGGUAAAGGGUUAUUUGAUGAAGUGCAUAGGGGUAAAAUUUGAGUGUAAUUUUAUAGAUCUAAGGUAGCUGUUGAGGCCGAAUCUGUGAAAUCUUUAAGGGAAACUGGGAUUAGGUACCCCAUUAUUUUUGGAUAUAAAUAGAAAAUAGUUUUACCGGAGUACUAUGAAUUUGGAGAUUUAAAACUCAAAGAACUUGGCGGUGUUUUAGACCACUUAGGGGAACCUGUCUCGUAAUCGACAAUCCACGUUGUACCUGACCUUCUUUUGUUUUCAGUUUGUAUACCGUUGUCGUCAGGUAACUUUUUAGAAUGUAAAAGUUGGCUGGGUAAAUAAGAUAAUUUAGUACGUCAAAUCAAGGUGCAGCUAAUAGGAAGGGGAGGAUGGGUUACAGUUGUAUAUUUACAAUUACGGAUAGUUGCAUGUAAGUGGACUAUGAAGGCGGACUUAAAAGUAAAUUGUGGUAUAAGGGUAAUUUGAAUGAGGCUCUGAAACGUGU